AUGUGUGCCGCUAUAGCUCAGCCGGUUAGAGCGUGGGUCUAAUAAGCCAAGGUCGCAGGUUCGAUCCCUGCUAGCGGCAUAUA
rnacentral:tRNA from 1 species